UACGUAGGGGACGAGCGUUGUCCGGAAUUAUUGGGCGUAAAGAGCGUGUAGGCGGCCACUCAAGUCCUGCGUGAAAUCUCGAGGCUCAACCUCGAGCGGUCGUGGGAAACUGGAUGGCUAGAGUGCGGGAGAGGAGAGUGGAAUUCCCAGUGUAGCGGUGAAAUGCGCAGAUAUUGGGAAGAACACCCGUGGCGAAGGCGGCUCUCUGGAACGCAACUGACGCUGAGACGCGAAAGCGUGGGGAGCAAACAGG
rnacentral:rRNA from 1 species